CCCCCUCGGAAACCCAAGUCUUCCAAAGAAAAUUCUCCACCGUCAGAUCGGUUUUCGAUUCCAAAUCCUGAAGAGCCCGCUUCCACCUAGGCCUCCCUCUUCUAACCCGACCGUUCCUGAGAGUUCGCUAUCACAUACUGCUUUUACCUGCAAUCCCGAUCCAAGAGACUGGCAGAUGGUUUAAGUAGCUGGUUCCGGAGGCAGAAGCUAACAGGUGCAGCUGGGGAGCGCUUGAAGGAAGCACGCAAUAUCAACCGAUCACUCUCACAACUCGGAUCGGAAUGAUGUUGCUCAUCUGAAAGAAGGCAGCAUCAUGUGCUUGAAGACUUGUGGA